GAGAGCGUGAUGGGCUCUGAGACUGCAGCUUGAUCCCUUCCACUGGCCCUUCCCAGGGGGGCUGUGUCCACAGAGUCAUCUUCAGGAGCAGCAUUUAAGGUGCUAUAAGAAAAAGAGUUUCUGCUUGCUGGACCUGCUGAAAGGAGGAUUCUGGGGGAUUUGUGCCUGAGGAGGGUGGGGAUAAAAACUGCCUCGAUGAAAUUGGGCAGAGUAACACAGAAACAAGUCCCUGAGCAAAAUAUUACUUAAAAGCAUGCAAACAAAAACUGCAGAGGGGUGAUGCUGGUAGUUGGCUGGAAUGGAGCUCUGGGUUCUAAAGCUUCCUGAGCACUCCCCGCUGGAGCUGCCUGCCUGGAAACACCCCUAUCUUCUUACUGCUCUAAGUGAAGGGAUAAUUCAUCUUUGUGUUUUUUCUUCGUUUUUUUUCCCCUUAAACAUUGCCAACCCUGCAAAUUAAAAAUGGACCCAUGAGUAA